AUGUUUUUUUUUAAAAUUUAUUAAAAGAAUUUAUAUUCAAUUGAACAUAUUAAAUGUAUACAAAUGUUCUAUAAUAAGACAAUUAGCAACGCUCAUAACACCAUUUCCAAGAAAAACAGUGGUCUUUAACAUUUCACAUCAAUGGAGUUAAAAGAACAGAACAAGAGAAUCAGACAACUCCUGUGAUAUUUCGUGACUGAACAAAACUUGAUAAAGUGGGCACUCAAUCAUACAAUAUGAACAAAAAGAAAAUGAAACAACACCAAAAAAAAAAAAAAGAAUGUCAAG